GAGUGUCAGCCUAUGGUAUCUGAGGUCCAGGAGAGAUGACCUGCGCUGUUUUCCUCUGAGGAGAUAUCUGAAAAUUUCAUCGGAUCACAAGCAAAGACCUCCUGGGGACCUUCAAUGCAUCCCUUGACAAAGUUGUGCCUGGCCUGCUGAAACUGUACUGGUCUAAGAAGGGAGUUCUUGGUGAGGAGAUGGAAGACCUCCUGGAUAAACUUGAUGAACAGACAUCCAACACUGUGUCCAACGGGCACUGAGAGGCCUGCCCAUUUUCCUCAAGAGAAGAUGCAACAGAGGUUUUCCUGAAGUGCUUAGACACUGACAUUUUGGAACCAGUGUUGAACGGUGCAUCAGUUGCCAUCCUCACCAUCCUACAAGAUGACGAUGCUGAUACGUCUGUACGAGAACAUGCAGUUGUGUUGGAAGGGGACAUCGUGCUACAUAACAUUCCAGAUCUCUCUACUGCCCUGGCACACCUCUUUGGCCUUCUGUAUGCCCUCAACAUUGAUUAUCCAAAGCAGAUGAGUUUUACCUUUGAAGCAAUUCAGGCCAUCUUAUUUUGGCCUGGUCGGACAAUAUGAAGGUGAAGUGGAUAAAUCAUUAUUCGAAAUGUAAAUUUUAGUCAGAUGAAUCUGUAUUGUUGAGAAUAUAUGGUGAAAAUUUGUCUUGUAGUAUUUU